UACGUAGGGUGCGAGCGUUAAUCGGAAUUACUGGGCGUAAAGCGUGCGCAGGCGGUUUUGUAAGCCAGAUGUGAAAUCCCCGGGCUUAACCUGGGAAUGGCAUUUGGGACUGCAAGGCUGGAGUGUGGCAGAGGAGACUGGAAUUCCUGGUGUAGCAGUGAAAUGCGUAGAUAUCAGGAGGAAUACCGGUGGCGAAGGCGGCCUUCUGGACGGUGACUGACGCUGAGACGCGAAAGCGUGGGGAGCAAACAGG
rnacentral:rRNA from 1 species